CGCAUGCGUGUGGCACGAGGUGUCCUGGGGCGCGCGGGGUUAUUUCCGGUGUGCGCUACCUGUGAAGCGAGAGGUGGAGAAACUGAGACUUGGAAAAGUUGAGCUACCUUCAAGGUUGCCCUUCCAGAAGUUUUCUUCUCAGAUGAAGGUGCUGUGGCAGGUGGGCUUCGGUACGUCACCCUACUGAGGAGCAUGCCCAACAGAAGGCCCCGAGGACCAAGCAGAGUGACCUGAUAUGCGUGUGGCAGAGUCCUCAUUCAUCCAACAAACAGGAUAAGCACCUUCAUGUUUCCCAGCAUCUUCCUGGACCUGGAGAUUCAACAGAGUACAAACAAGAUCACCAGAGCCUGGAAUCUAUCUGCUGAAUGCAUCUUGCAACAACACGUCCAGGUAGGGUGUACCGAAGCCGGCUUUCAGACAUAUGUCAAACUGAAAGGGGCAGCUGGAGAGACAGAAGCAGAGCUGCAAGCCUCUGGCAGCACUGCUCAGAUGGGGCAUCUCUGUAAGGGAGCCGCUCCGGCCUAUGGAUUAAGCCAUUUAAACUAAGGUUCACGCUCUCGAACUUGCUGGACGCCUGACUGAAUAAAACAGCUUGGGGUUGGGGUGCAGUUCGUUGGAGGAGUUGCAUGUCAGUGUCCUGGGCUCAGCCCCCGGCACCAAAAACAAAAACAAAGCCUCCCUUGGAAACACUGUGCCAUCUUCUCCCCACUAAUUAAAGGCACGGGGUGCCCCAUGAAGACACCUGUUUGCCCUUCCCGAGUGCGUCACAUCUUCCCCGCCCG